rnacentral:tRNA from 1 species
GAAAUUUUAGGUUAUAUAGACCAAGAGCCUUCAAAGCCCUAAGAAAGCAGACACACGCUUAAUUUUCU